UAGGGAAUAUUGGGCAAUGGAGGGAACUCUGACCCAGCCAUGCCGCGUGCAGGAUGAAGGCGUUAUGCGUUGUAAACUGCUUUUUAUAUAGGAAGAAAUAGUCCUUGCGAGGAAAGUUGACGGUACUAUAUGAAUAAGCACCGGCUAACUCCGUGCCAGCAGCCGCGGUAAUACGUAGGUGGCAAGCGUUGUCCGGAUUUAUUGGGUUUAAAGGGUGCGUAGGUGGCCCUGUAAGUCAGUGGUGAAAUAUCUCAGCUUAACUGAGAGGGUGCCAUUGAUACUGCAGGGCUUGAGUACAGAUGAGGUAGGCGGAAUUGACGGUGUAGCGGUGAAAUGCAUAGAUAUCGUCAAGAACACCGAUAGCGAAGGCAGCUUACCAAGCUGUAACUGACACUGAGGCACGAAAGUGUGGGGAUCAAACAGGAUUAGAUACCCAAGUAGUCCCUGAGCGGGCUGGCAAGGCGCAU
rnacentral:rRNA from 1 species